rnacentral:misc_RNA from 1 species
AUAGUCGUUGACAUGAGCAUUCGAGCAUUAUGGAUUGUUCCAAUAGUUCGUCAAAGUACUGCUGAUCUCUUGCAAGAUAACAUAAUUUUUACAAGGUAUUUUCCACUUAUCGAAAAGAAAGUCAGAUCAGCAAAUGGGGAGGCGUAUAUAUCCUUGCCAAGUCCAACUGAAUUUUCCAAUGCACUUCUUUUUGAGCUAGGAUUCAAGGAUGAAGAAAAGUUUAUACAAUCACGAGACACUUGUCAGAAGGUGGAGAGGAAGCCGGUGUUUGAGGUGACCACACCCGCGGGAACAGUAUGGCCGGUUGUGGUGGUGGAGCAGAGGGGCCUGCUAUUUUGCUGUCUACCCUUGGUCCCCGAUAACCUGACCACAAGUCGACCCGAUCUCAUACAGAUACCUGGUGUUUCUCUUGGAUUUUCCCUGCUCUGUGGAUUGACGGACUUUCUGAGGCAAUGCCCACCUUCUGAGGUCGCACAAAGGAGUGGAGACUUGCAUCUAUACCUGAACACAGCUGCUCCAUUCGGAAGAAUAUCUGAUGUCAACUGUGAUACUGUGAUGGCCAAAAUGUAUAACAAACCUAGCUACCUCCCCAGAGCUCAGAAACAACCUUCUUGGAAACCUGUUCUUCACAAAGGAAAGAAUAUUCUGUAUCUGGCUCUUACAGAAAACAUCAGAGCUAUCCAGUUUAACAAGGAGAACACAGCGGACACCUUCGACCUGUAUGGGUCAGUAUCAUGUAAGUCGGACCUAGAGGUGGCGCUCUCAGACGUAACAAUCAACCUGUCCUAUAACUCUCCCGAGUCCGCCAUUCCUAUGGACAAUCUUCUGAUCCACCCCUGUGUUCAAAGCGCUGACUGCUCCAUGCUUCAAAGAGUUUCAUUCAUGAUGCAGGGGAGACCAAAGCAGCACCCCGAAGGAUUCGAUUCACCCCACCCACAGAAAUGUUCACCCUCUGCCAUUACACUGCAUCAGGGCUAAAGGGACCUCCCAUUAAGGCUGUGUAUGAUAUGAAGAUGACAGAUAACCGGGCCUCUCUGACGAUUCAGCUGACACUGAGUGACAAGGUUAAGAAUGCGUUUGAGUACUGUGAGAUGCAGAUACCAUUCCACAACAGGGGUAUAAUUUCUUCCCAGGAUUCUUCUGUCAGUCAGGGCAACACCUUAAUCUCCCCUGAUAAAAAAAUCCUUGUUUGGAACAUAGGUCAGAAGUUCCCUAAAUCCUUGAAUGCAAACUUGGAAGCUACUGUUGUGUUCACAGAUGCCAAAUCUCCAAGCUCCUUUGAUGACCCAUUUUGUACGGACCAGAAUGCUUAUGCACAGCUGUUUUUCAAGAUCCCUGACUUCACUCACUCUGGAUGUUGUAUAGACUCCAAGUCCAUUCAGGUUUCGCCAAGCACAAAAUUCAAACUCAACACAGUACAUGAGUAUCUGUCGGCUGAGUACAAGAUAUGGAACUGUAAUGGUGAUGUGUUAAGCAGCAGUGUUCCCAAGGCUCUCCUGAAGCAGAUGGCAGACAUGUAAUACUUUGGUUAUAGCUGUAUUAGAACAAGGCAACUCACCACUGGGCUAUUAUAUCCUUAUCAAAGACUGUUUCACUCAUAAAAUUCAUUUUUUAUUUGUACAACAUAUUCUAUUUUAUAUUAUGUUUAGUCAAUAAAUAUAUUAAUAAAAUGUU